rnacentral:rRNA from 1 species
CCGACUCCUACGGGAGGCAGCAGUAGGGAAUAUUGGGCAAUGGAUGCAAGUCUGACCCAGCCAUGCCGCGUGCCGGAUGAAGGCCCUCAGGGUUGUAAACGGCUUUUAUUCGGGAAGAAGAGCAGGGAUGCGUCCUUGUGCGACGGUACCGAAUGAAUAAGCACCGGCUAACUCCGUGCCAGCAGCCGCGGUAAUACGGAGGGUGCGAGCGUUGUCCGGAUUUAUUGGGUUUAAAGGGUGCGUAGGUGGCUUGAUAAGUCAGUGGUGAAAUACAGCCGCUCAACGGUUGAGGUGCCAUUGAUACUGUCAAGCUUGAAAGAAUUGGAGGCUGCCGGAAUGGAUGGUGUAGCGGUGAAAUGCAUAGAUAACAUCCAGAACACCGAUUGCGAAGGCAGGUGGCUACGAUUGAUUUGACACUGAGGCACGAAAGCAUGGGGAGCAAACAGGAUUAGAUACCCUGGUAGUCCAUGCCGUAAACGAUGAGGACUCGCUGUUGGCCUGUCACGGGUCAGCGGCUUAGGGAAACCGUUAAGUCCUCCUCCUGGGGAGUACGCCGGCAACGGUGAAACUCAAAGGAAUUGACGG